UUAGAUAUAGAAUCUGAACGUUUCCAACUGCACAUUUGGCAAAGCUUCGCGGCCUAACUGGCCUUUCCAGGCCCCUGUGGAUAGCUCUGGAUCUCCUGGGGCCUCCAGGCCUCCCCUCCUGACGGCUGCCGGGGCCAGCGCUGCUCAGAGGAGCGGGCCUGGGCCGGGGUCCGGUUGGGCCUCUGGGGGCUGCUUCUGAACUCGAUAUUCCUUAGGCAUCAGCCGGGAGUUUGCAGGAUAAAAUGCAGGCCUCGAAGAGCCCACUCCCAAGAUGCACACCUAUAUCCGCUCAUUGCGCGUAGAAACACGCGUCUCGGUCCGUUUUUCCUCAUCUAUCCCUAAACCCAGCACAGUGAAUGCUGGAGUGGUGAACGCUGGAUGUGUCCACGUCUAUCGCGGGAUGCUCUUGAGAGACCCCAAAUAACCAUGGCACGCAGAUACAUUUCUGAGUAACUCAGAUUCUUCUCUUCGUUGGAGAAAUUUUCAAACAAUUCCUAGGAAACCCUAAACAACUAUAGGCCUGUCCCUUGCCUAACCCUGAGGUCUUGAACCUUUGCCUGCAGAAUUGUUGAUUCCUUACGUAUCACUCUUCAUUAAAGAAGACACUUUCUACAGCAAAGGCUGACGCUUAUGCACAAUACUUUCUAAUAUUGUUUUUAAAAAGCAAAAAAAUUGAUAGAUAAACAAAGUAACAGAGGUGCAUAUUUCCUGAACCUCAAAAAAAAAAAAAAAAUGAAAUCAAGCUGACUGAUAAUACAUUUUCCUGAGCAGUAAACGACUAAGAAAUAAUUUAGUGCUUUCAAUAACUGAUAUGGGAAAUACAAAAGAAGAGUAAACUAAUCUCUAGUGCAGAGGAGUUUUCUAAUUUUCUUAAGACAAAAAAACAUGCGAUGAAUCUGAGAAAAAAUAUAAAAGAAAGUGUACAUAACAUGUUCAUCUUUGUUUCAACUCGCUACAACAGAGGCCCAUGCAUUUGUAUCAACUAAAUAAGAAUUUUGAACUAAAAUCUCAGAUAUUUUCCAACCCUGACAUUAGAUUAUAGAAAUGUUCGUCCUAGAAAAGUGAUGGUUUUAUCUACAGCAGUAUCUGAGGGGUGCAGAUCACUAUGGUAACUUACAAGAGGAAGUGAGGAAGAGACACAAGUAUAGUGACACCAAGGAAAGACAGUCAUGUGACAACAGAGCCGGAGACUGGGGUUAUGCAUCUACAAACCAGGGAGUGUGGUGGAUUGCUGGACACCACGGAAUGAGGAGAGAGGCACAGGACACAUACAGCCUCAGACCCACAGAAGAAAACAACCCUGCUGACUCAUUGAGCUCAGCUUUCCAGCCUCCAGGCAGUGAGAGAAGACACUUCUGUUGCUUGAGACACCCGGUUUGUGGUGCUUUGUUAUGACAGUCCUGGGAAACUAACAGUUCCUUAUUUACAGACGAAGAAGCUAUGGCUUGGACUUUGUGUAACUUAUCCAAGUUUACAGGACUGAUGCAGGAUAAAUGACUAGAAUUUCAAGCCAUUCUGCCCUGGCACACACAUGUCCUCUUCACCUGCUUGUAAGUUGAAAACUACCUAAACUACCAUAGACAAAGCACAG